rnacentral:rRNA from 1 species
UACGGGGGGGGCAAGCGUUGGUCGGAAUUACUGGGCGGAAAGGGCUUGUAGGUGGCCAACUAAGUCAGACGUGAAAUCCCUCGGCUUAACCGGGGAACUGCGUCUGAUACUGGAUGGCUAGAGUUUGGGAGAGGGAUGCGGAAUUCCAGGUGUAGCGGUGAAAUGCGUAGAUAUCUGGAGGAACACCGGUGGCGAAGGCGGCAUCCUGGACCAACACUGACGCUGAGGAGCGAAAGCCAGGGGAGCAAACGGG